CUGAAAGCAUAACAACUAAGCCAUAGAAGAUAUUAUGAAGCUUUUGGUCCAAGAUUCUUCUGAAUUCUUGGAACGGAUGGAAUCAAGGGCAGGAAUGAUAUUUGCUCUGUAUCGCCACAAAGAUAACCUGAAUUGGUAAAUACCGUCUAAGUGCAGCGUGUGGCUUAGGCUCCAUAUGUAAGACUCACAUUGCAUUGUAUUUUGUAAUUUGUACAUGAUUGUGAUGGUUCCAAACUUAGUUUAUCUAUUUUCGUGGGUUUUCUCUCCAUUUGUUAAUGAAAUCAGGAUCAUGUAGUCCUGGUCAUCAUCAUCAAUUCAGUUUUGGUUUCUGAUCAUGUUGCAUAGUAAUGCCUGGCCCAAGAUUAAUCUAUCCGAAAAGGUCACCCUUCCUCAUACUUGUUUUGGUGAUAUACCAGUGGCUCAUUCAAGUUAUCAAAAAAAAAAUUGGCCUGUAGAGAAGGUUCAUAGUGUUCGUCAGUUCAGAUUCUGAUCAUAAUAUUUUUCUUAAAGAAACUACGCAACCCAUGAACUUAGGGAUCUGUGUUUGGAUCAAUGGACUAAUUUUUUGUUCGGGUCACAUCGGAUAUUUGGAUACCAACUAGAAGGACCAUCUAAGUGACCGUAUCUUUGGUGCAUGCAAUGAACCGAAGAAAUAAAAGAAAACAACACAAUCGGAUGUUCCAAUGGCCCCCAGAAGGCGUUGGAUUAAGCGUUGGAAGUUUUGGUACGCUGCGGAAGAAAUAAGGUAAAGUCAACCAUCGGAUGCUCCUACCAGGUUGCCACGAAGCGUGACAAUUUUAUUUGAUUCUGAAUCUUAUACUGCCUUAUAUCCUUAUCAGGUUGAAAUUUGUUGUUCUGGCAGUGUUCUUAUUAUCCUAACAACCUCAUCCAUUGAUGCGUAACUAAUGCUUGAAUCUGUAAACUAAUGCAUAGGGACACGUUUCUAUCGGAUUUAUCACAUUUGGAUGCAUCAUAAUCUUAAUGUCAGUAGCCUAAUGGAAAGAAACGAACUGAAAGUUCGUGAUGCGGUCACAAAAUGAUAAUCUGCAAUUGUAUAAAGUUACACUCCAGAAAGUGAUCCAGGAGAUACUCGACCAGGCACACAGUGCAUCUUUCUAGCAUAAUAACCUUCUUCUCAUGUCUCCCCAAUGCCCAAGGAUCCAUGUUCAGAAUCUUUAAAUCUGUAAAGCUGUGGCCUGUUGCAUGAUGAAAAUUAACAAUCCUCUAAUGAACUGUUGUGCAUUUGGUUAAGAAAUACUUUUGAAGAAAGCAUUCAGUUAAUAAUUAACUUUCUUCACCGAAGGGUUAACUAACAUGUCUGCAGUCACAAACAUCUCAGAGCUUUUGGAGAUGAUCACUAUAGGGCAUAGGCAUAGCUAGAACAGAAACUUAGCUUCACGUUUUCUUGAACAAGCCUUUUUUUUGCUUCACUUUGAGGCAAAGUUCAAGAGUAAAUAAAGAAUUGUUCCGUAUUUGUGAAAAAGUGAAUGCUUUUGAUUUUUUAUUUCUUAAGAUGUGGAAUUUAGGAAUGUCCAUUUAAUAGACCAACUUCUAAUUUGAUUUCGAUUUGAAAUGCCAUGUUUAGUGCCAGAGCCUCAGCUUGAUACCUUUGUCUUCUGCAAGACUAAGAGUGACGUAGCAGCCUUCCAGCUAGAUGACAUGUUUAGCACACUUCAAAUCUUGAUUUGCACCGUUACAUGCUUUGCUUACCUGUGAUGCUUCGAUGCAGUAUAGAGGAGGUUGUGGACUUGGUUGCCGACGACUUGUAUGUUCUCGGUACAAGUCCAUCAAGGGCCUUGUCGAGGCUGGCCGAAUCGACCUUAUCUGAUGUCAAAUCACAAAUUCGUACUUGUAAAAGUGCGAGCUCUGAAAGCAUAACAGCUAGGCCAUAGAAGAUAUUAUGAAGCGUUUGGUCCACGAUUCUUCUGAAUUCUUGGAACGGAUGGAAUCAAGGGCAGGAAUGAUAUUUACUCUGUAUCACCACAAGGAUAACCUGAAUUGGUAAAUACCGUCUAAGUGCAGCAUGUGGCUUAGGCUCCAUAUGUAAGACUCACAUUGGAUUGUAUUUUGUAAUUCGUACAUGAUUGUGAUGGUACCUAUCGGUCUUUAAACCCGACAACCUACCCAGGGGAGUACCUGGGAUAGAGUUUUGAUUGGUGGGUGUCAUUGAAAU
rnacentral:lncRNA from 1 species